GAUGAACGCUGGCGGCGUGCCUAAUACAUGCAAGUCGAGCGAAUGGAUUAAGAGCUUGCUCUUAUGAAGUUAGCGGCGGACGGGUGAGUAACACGUGGGUAACCUGCCCAUAAGACUGGGAUAACUCCGGGAAACCGGGGCUAAUACCGGAUAACAUUUUGAACCGCAUGGUUCGAAAUUGAAAGGCGGCUUCGGCUGUCACUUAUGGAUGGACCCGCGUCGCAUUAGCUAGUUGGUGAGGUAACGGCUCACCAAGGCAACGAUGCGUAGCCGACGUGAGAGGGUGAUCGGCCAAACUGGGACUGAGGAACGGCCCAGACUCCUACGGGAGGCAGCAGUAGGGAAUCUUCCGCAAUGGACGAAAGUCUGACGGAGCAGCGCCGCGUGAGUGAUGAAGGCUUUCGGGUCGUAAAACUCUGUUGUUAGGGAAGAACAAGUGCUAGUUGAAUAAGCUGGCACCUUGACGGUACCUAACCAGAAAGCCACGGCUAACUACGUGCCAGCAGCCGCAGUAA
rnacentral:rRNA from 1 species